rnacentral:rRNA from 1 species
UACGGAGGGGGCUAGCGUUGUUCGGAAUUACUGGGCGUAAAGCGCACGUAGGCGGCUUUGUAAGUUAGAGGUGAAAGCCCGGGGCUCAACUCCGGAAUUGCCUUUAAGACUGCAUCGCUAGAAUUGUGGAGAGGUAAGUGGAAUUCCGAGUGUAGAGGUGAAAUUCGUAGAUAUUCGGAAGAACACCGGUGGCGAAGGCGGCCCGCUGGGCUGUUGCUGACGCUGAGGCGCGACAGCGUGGGGAGCAAACAGG